AACGAACGCUGGCGGCAGGCCUAACACAUGCAAGUCGAGCGGACAUCUUCGGAUGUUAGCGGCGGACGGGUGAGUAACGCGUGGGAACGUGCCCUUUGCUUCGGAAUAGCCUCGGGAAACUGGGAGUAAUACCGGAUGUACCCUUUGGGGGAAAGAUUUAUCGGCAAAGGAUCGGCCCGCGUUGGAUUAGGUAGUUGGUGGGGUAAUGGCCUACCAAGCCGACGAUCCAUAGCUGGUUUGAGAGGAUGAUCAGCCACACUGGGACUGAGGCACGGCCCAGACUCCUACGGGAGGCAGCAGUGGGGAAUCUUAGACAAUGGGGGAAACCCUGAUCUAGCCAUGCCGCGUGAGCGAUGAAGGCCUUAGGGUUGUAAAGCUCUUUCACCGGGGAAGAUAAUGACGGUACCCGGAGAAGAAGCCCCGGCUAACUCCGUG
rnacentral:rRNA from 1 species